ACUCCAGUCCAGUAGGUAGCGGUAAAUGCACCUAAAGUUGGUUUGCCAUCCGCCAAUAAAAAUCAGAAGAAGAAGAAGCAGCAGCAGCAGCAACAGGAACAGGGUGUGGCAGCAGCAGCAACAGGAACAUGGUGUGGUAAGCAGUAGGAGAUUUGGAGCUAGCCGUCCUUGAAUUUUUGGUUUUGUUUUAUGCCAUACUGAACCUGCAUUAACGACGACAGUGUGGGCUCGCGGACAGCCUUAGCCACCGGGGGUGGUGGACAAGUCUAAAGUAAGGGAAGGUGUGUGUCCAUGUUGAGGUGGGCUGUGGAUGUUGUGGUGUGGUGUUUUUCACUCUGUAUUUACACAUCGGUUACAUCUCUAACUACACGUAAUGUCAUAAAACAAACCUGGCAAAAAAAAAAACAAAGACCCAUGAGGAAACCUUUACUUGAAAAACAUCCCAACAGUAAAUAAAUGUUAAAUUUUA